GCGGCCGCCGCGCGCCGGGCGGGAGGAGCGGCAGGGGUAGGGGGCUGGGCGACCCGGCGGCCCACGCGGGCACCAGGAGGCCUCGCCCCGGACCGCUUCCCUCUUUCGUCUUUGUCCUGCGCGGGCGCCCGCAGCCGAGGGCCACGGGGUCGGCGGGGCUUCGAGGCCGCCCCGGGUCCCACCGGCUCCUCCGGAAGCCGCGGACCGGCCUGGCCCUGACCCCAGGCCGCCCCCCGCUGCCCACCCAGCUCUGGGCGCCCAGGUCCGACCUCCCAGUCGCCCUCUGAGAGCCGAGUCAGCGCGGGGCGGGGGGUCGCCCCCUUUGUCCUCACUCAGGGCGGGAGGCCCUCGGGGUGGCCGCAGACGCCCCGUUGGGCAGCCCUCCAGCCCAGCUCUCCAGGCAGGAGGUGGGGGAAGCCUGGGAAAGCGGAGGGGGGGCCCCGGGAUCCCCCGAGGCGCGGGGCUCCCGGCGAAGCCUCAGAUCUCCGGCCCUUCCCGGGGAGGGUGCGGGCGGGGCGGGCCUUUGGAAAUGCAGAUGAGCCGCCGCCCGGGCCGGGGUUGAACCUUCUGACUCAGCCACCCCCGGCCGCCCGGGCCGCUGGGGGAGGGGCGGCGUCUGGGGUGCUCCCUUUCAGCCCCGGAGCCCGUCUGCUGUGUAUUCGGCCGGUCACAUCUCUCUCCCCCAACGCCCUGAUCCGCCCUCCACCUUCCUCUCCUCCAGGUUCUGGGCCGGAGAAGGGGCGACGUUCGGGCACCCCCCGAAUGGACAAUCUUUCCUUCUGUCAACGGCAGGGGCAGGCCUAGUUUGACUCUGACAGUCCUCCCACUAAGCACUACGCCCCAUCGGUGUUCGAGAAGUACACGGCCAGCGUGACCGUUGGCAGCAAGGAGGUGACCCUGAACCUCUACGACACGGCCGGGCAAGAAGACUAUGACCGGCUGCGGCCCCUGUCCUACCAGAACACCCACCUCGUGCUCAUCUGCUAUGACGUCAUGAAUCCCACCAGCUACGACAACGUCCUCAUCAAGUGGUUCCCUGAGGUCACGCAUUUCUGCCGCGGGAUCCCCAUGGUGCUCAUCGGCUGCAAGACAGACCUGAGGAAGGACAAGGAGCAGCUGCGGAAGCUCCGGGCCGCCCAGCUGGAGCCCAUCACCUACAUGCAGGGCCUGAGCGCCUGCGAACAGAUCCGAGCUGCUCUCUACCUGGAAUGUUCCGCCA
rnacentral:lncRNA from 1 species